rnacentral:rRNA from 1 species
UACGUAGGGUGCAAGCGUUAAUCGGAAUUACUGGGCGUAAAGCGUGCGCAGGCGGCUUUGCAAGACAGAUGUGAAAUCCCCGGGCUUAACCUGGGAACUGCAUUUGUGACUGCAAGGCUGGAGUGCGGCAGAGGGGGAUGGAAUUCCGCGUGUAGCAGUGAAAUGCGUAGAUAUACGGAGGAACACCAGAGGCGAAGGCGGAUCGCUGGGCCAACACUGACGCUGAGACGCGAAAGCUAGGGGAGCAAACGGG